GCCAGCGGCGAUAGAACUUUGAGUGCACAAGUUUCCCAUAGAUCACUGAAGUUAAUCAACGUUGCGCAUGGUUAGUAUCCAGAUGGGUGACCAUCUCUGCAAUCGCGUGCUGCUGGCU
rnacentral:rRNA from 1 species